GCCUAGUUAGCUUGGUUGGUAGCGCGUCUGCCUUGUAAGCGCUAGGCCGCGGGUUCGAUUCCCGCCCGGGGUU
rnacentral:tRNA from 1 species